rnacentral:lncRNA from 1 species
AAAAUGUCCCUCAGCCAGGUGCUUAGCCCCUGGUAAUCUGAAGCUCAGGCCCUUCCUGAUGCCCUGGUCUCCUGCACUGAGCUGUGUGAGCUCUUCAGCCCAGGUGGGCUCCCUGACACUGAUGCGCAUAGAUGGUGAGCCUGGAGGAAGACUUGCAUUGGGCCCAAUGGACCCAGGCCAGUGGCCAUCAGCCAGGUGCCCACCCUGGUGUGCUGAAGCGCGGGACCUACCUGUUGUCCUGGUUUCCUACACUGAGCUGAGUGAGCUCUUCAACCCAGGCGGGGCACCCUGGCAUUCACCAGCAUAGACUGUGAAAUGGGAGGAAGAAUUGUGUUGGGCCCAAUGGCCCUGGGCCAGUAUCCGUCAGCCUGGUGUCCAGCCCCUGGUGUGCUGAAGCUCAUGCCCUUCCUGGUGCCCUAGUUUCCUGCACUGAGCUUGUGAGCUCUUUUGCCCAGAAGACUCCCUGGCAUUGAUCGGCAUAGAUGGCAGCGCUGGAGGAGGACUUGUACUGGGGCCGCUGGCCCCACAUCAGUGUCCGUCAUCCCGGCGUCCAGCCCCUGGUGUGCUGAAGCUCAGGCCCUUCCUUGUGCCCUAGUCUCCUGCACUGAGCUUGUGAGCUCUUCUGCUCAGGCGGGUCCCCUGGCAUUGACCAGCAUAGGUAAGUGGAUCCUGCUGGGUUCAUGGGCCAUGAGCCAGACCACAUGGAGUGACUGAGGGUCAGCCUUCAGGACAGGAAGAUUUCCUCGGGGAGCCAACCUGAAUCCCCACCGUGGAGGGAUGUGUUAGUCCUCCAGGAGGGUGGCUUCCUAGGGAAUCUGACCCCAGGAGGACACCUUUGCUGAAGCCCUGCAGGGGUGAUGGUGGUCCAGGCUGGAAAGUUUUCCUUCAGUCUCAUGUGGGGCAGCUCCCUGCUGACAUUCCGUGCCUGCGUCUGACCUUGAGGACUGCCCGGGCCACAUGAGUGGGGCAACAAGGGCUCCAGGGUGCCACGGGGAUUAUGAGUGGGGCUCUCCAUCCCCGGAGAGAGGUGGGCAAUCAGGCCCAUGUGGUCAGGCUUGUAGGGUUCGGUGGUGGGGAGAGCCAAGGUUUCCCUGGGUCCAUUACCGUCACUGUUUCACCUGGAUCCCAUCACAUGGGUCCAUGGAGGGAGAGCAUGUGUGAACAGGCACCCCUUGCUCCCUUUCCCACAUGAGCCCCUGGUUGGACAUAUGUCCUCCUCCUGUCCCCCCAGAUGGUGGCCCUGGAGGAGGACUUGUAUUGGGGCCACUGGCCCCACGUCAGUGUUCGUCAGCCUGGCAUCCAGCCCCUGGUGUGCUGAAGCUCAGGCCCUUCCUGUUGCCCUAGUCUCCUGCACUGAGCUUGUGAGCUCUUCUGCCCAGGUGGUCCCCCUGGUCUUGAUGGGCAUAGGGUGAGGCCCUGUUUGGACCCAUCUUCCAGCUAUCUCACCAGAUGGUGAGCCCAGAGGAAGACCCCGUGGCUCUGGGCCAGUGUGCGUCAGCCAGGUCCCCAGCCCCCAGUGUGCUGAAGCUCAGGCCCUUCCCAACGCCCUGGUCUCCUGCACUGAGUGAGCUCUUCCGCCCAUUUGGGCCCUCUGACAUUGACCGGCAUAGAUGGUGAGCUCGGAGGAAGACUUGCAUUGGGCCCAAUGGAGCUGGGCCAGUUUCUGUCAGCCAGGUCCCCAGCUCCUGAUGCACUGAAGCUCAGGCCCUUCCUGGAGCCCUGGUCUCCUGCCCUGAGCUGUGAUGGUGAGCCUGAAGGAAGACUUGCAUCAGGACCAAUGGACCCUGGCAAGUGUCCGUCAGCCAGGUGCUCAGCCCCUGGUGCACUGAAGCUCAGGCCCUUCCUGGCCCCUUGAUCUCCUGCACUGAGCUGUGUGAGCUCUUCUGCCAAGGGGGGGCCUCCUGGCAUUGACCAACAUAGAUGGUGAGCCUGGAGGAAGAUUUGCAUUGGGCCCAAUGGCCCUGGGCCAGUGUCUGUCAGCCAGUUUCCCAGCCCCUGGUGCACUGAAGCUCAGGCCUUUCCUGGCAUCCUGGCCUCCUGCACUGAGCUGUGUGAGUGCUUCUGCCCAGGCAGGCCACUUGGCAUUGACCGGUAUAGAUGGUGACCCUGAAGAAAGACUUCAGUUGGGCCUGAAGGCCCCGGGCCAGUGUCCAUCAUCCAGGUGCUCAGCUCCCAGUGCACUGAAGCUCAGACCCUUCCUGGUUCCCUGGUCUCUUGCACUGAGCUCUGAUGGUGAGACUUGAGGAAGACUUCCACUGGGCCUGCUUUUCCUGAGCCAGUGCCCAUCACCCAGGUGCUCAGUCCCUGGUGCACUGAAGCUCCAGCCCUUCCUGGCGCCCUGGUCUCCUGAACUGAGCUGUGUGAGCUCUUCUGCCAAGCGGUUCCCCUGGCAUUGACCAACAUAGAUGGUGAGCCUGGAGGAAGACUUGCGUUGGGCCCAAAGGCCCUAGACCAGUGUCUGUCAGCCAGGUUCCCAACCCCCGAUGCGCUGAAGCUCAAGCCUUUCCUGGCACCCUGGUCUCCUGCACUGAGCUGUGUGAGCUCUUCUGCCCAGGCGGGCCCCCUGGAAUUGAUGGGUAUAGAUGGUGACCCCGGAGGAAAAUUUGUGUUGGGCCCACUAUCCCUGGGCCAAUGUCAGUCAGCUAGGCACCCAGCCCCCAGUGCGCUGAAGCUCAGGACCUUCCUAGUGCCCUCGGCUCCUGCACUGAGCUCUGAUGGUAAGCCUGGAGGAAGACUUGUGUUGGGCCCACAGGCCCCAGGCCAAUGUCUGUCAGCCAGGUGCUCAGCCUCUGGUGCGCUGAAACUCUGACCCUUCCUGGCACACUGGUCUCCUGCACUGAGCUGGGAUUUUCCACCUAGGAGGUCCACCUGGCAUUGACUGACAUAGAUGGUGAGACUUCUGUCGGCCUCGCUUUUCCUGGGCCAGUGUCCAUCAGCCAGGUGCUCAGCCCCAGUGCACUGAAGCUCCAGCCCUUCCUGGCGCCCUGGACUGAGCUGUGUGAGCUCUUCUGCCAAGGGGGUCCUCCUGGCAUUGACCAACAUAGGUGGUGAGCCUGGAGGAAGACUUGCAUUGGGCCCAAUGGCCCUGGACCAGUGUCUGUCAGCCAGGUUCCCAGCCCCCGAUGCGCUGAAGCUCAAGCCUUUCCUGGCACCCUGGUCUCCUGCACUGAGCUGUGUGAGCUCUUCGGCCCAAGUGGUCCCCCCGGCCUUAAGCGGCAUAGAUGGUGAGCCUGGAGGAAGACUCGUGUUGGGCCCACAGGCCCCAGGCCAGUGUACGUCAGCCAGGUGCUCAGCCCAUGGUGUGCUGAAGCUCUGACCCUUCCUGACUCCGUGGUCUCCUGCACUGAGCUGUGAUGACCAUAUCCAGUGAGCUCUUCCAAACAGGUGGGCUCCCUAGCAUUGACCGACAGAGUGAGCUCUGCCACCCAGGACAUCCCCCUGGCAUUGACUGGCAUAGAUGCUGACCCUGGAGGAAGACUUGUGUCGGGCCCCCAGGCCCCAGGCCAGUGUCCAUCAGCCAGGUGCUCAGCUCCCAGUGCGCUGAAGCUCAGACCCUUCCUGGCACCCUGGUGUCCAGCACUGAGCUGUGUGAGCUUUUCCACCCAGGUGGGCCCCCUGGCAUUGACCGACAUAGUGGCAGGGAGAGCCAAGGGUGCCCCACAUUGGUGACGAGUCAGUAUUUUGCAUGGAUCUCAUCACACGUGACCAUGAAGGACGAGCAAGCAUGAGCUGGCACCAGCCACCCCCUUCUCCGCGUGGAGGGUGGUCACAUGUCCUCCACCUGUGCCCCCAGAUGAUGAGACUGGAGGAAGACUUCCAUUGGGCCCACUUUUCCUGGGCCAGUGUCCAUCAGCCAGGUGCUCAGCCCCUGGUGUACUGAAGCUCCAGCCUUUCCUGGUGCCCCAGUCUUCUGCACUAAGCUGUGUGAGCUCUUCCACCCAGGAGGGCCCCUUGGCAUUGACUGGCAUAGAUGGUGAGACGGGAGGAAGACUUGUGUUGGGCCUGCUGUUCCUGGGCCAGUGGCCAUCAGCCUGUUGCCCAGCCCCUGAGGCGCUGAAGCUCAGGCCCUUCCUCACACCCUGGUCUCCUGCACUAGCUGUGUGAGCUCUUCUGCCCAGGUGGGGCCCAUGGCCUUACACGACAUAGGAGCACGCAUUUCUUGAAGUCCUGCAAAGGUGAUGGUGGUCCAGACAGGAGAGGGUUCCUUCAGCCCAACAUAGCGCAGCUCCCAGCUGAAACUCGGAAGGCUGGUCAGGCCUCGAGGACUGCCCAGGCCACAUGAGGGUUUGGUGGCCGGGAGGGCCAAUGAUGCUCUGCGUCUGUGUUGGAUCAGUGUUCUUCAUGGAUUCCAUCACAUGGUGAGCCUUGAGGAAGACUUGUAUUGGGCCCCCACAGGCCCCAGGCCAGUGUCCGUCAGCCUGGUGCUCACCCCCAGUGUGCUGAAGCUCAGACCCUCCGUGGCACCCUGGUCUCCUGCACUGAGCUGUGUGAACUUUUCCUCCCAGAUGGGCCCCCUGGCAUUGACUGGCAUAGAUGGUGAGACCGGAGGAAGACUUGCAUUGGGCCUGUUGUUCCUGGGCCAGUGGCCAUCAGCCUGUUGCCCAGCCCCUGAUGCGCUGAAGCUCGGGCCCUUCCUCGCGCCCUGGUCUCCUGCACUGAGCUGUGUGAGCUCUUCUGCCCAGGUGAGGCCCAUGGCCUUAAGCGGCAUAGAUGGUGAGUCUGGAGGAAGACUUGUGUUGGACCCCCACAGGCCCCAGGCCAGUGUCCAUCAGCCUGGUGCUAAUCCCCCAGUGCUCUGGAGUUUGGACCCUCCCUGGCACCCUGGUCUCCUGCACUGAGCUGUGUGAGCUCUUCCACCCGGGCGGGCCCCCGGCAUUGACUGGCAUAGGUGGUGAGCCCGGAGGAGGACUUGCGUUCGGCCCGCUGGUCCCAGUGUGUCCGGAAUUGGUGGGUUCUUGGUCUCACUGACUUCAAGAAUGAAGCUGCGGACCCUCGCUAUGAUGAUAUGGAAGAAAAGCACUCUUUGGCCUGUUGUGACUGGGACAGUUGACAGCACCCAGGUGUCCUUUAAUGAAAAUGCUCUUGACACCAAUGCAUCCUAGCAUCACAGCUUCAGGAAGCCUUCUCAAGUGUGCAUGGGGAGUACUAUGUCUUUCAUCAAUAAUGAAAUCUUCUGAUUUGUAAGACAUGCUGCCAAGAGAUGUGCCAUUCUAUUAUAAAAGAUCAGUAGCUUCCUUUACCGACGUGUAUAUUCUAUCUAGAACAUUGAGCUAUGGAAGACUCCCACCUAAGGGAAUUAGUUUUACACCUUCAGAUAAAGACUGCUGAGAAGAGCACCCUCUGGUGUUGUCACAGAGGCAAGUGCUACCGCACAGGCAUGCUGCAGUGAAUUUAACUGAUCCUCUGUCCCUGCAACCGUUGUUUAAGGAUGCUAUUCUGAAAAGACUGUGGAGGAAGAAAACCCUUUACCCUGUUGUUCAGGGAGAAACUGACACCACUCAACUGCCUGGCACUGAAAAUGUGGCAUCCAGUCCACUUUACCAUCAGUGUUUAAGGAAACCAUCUCUGAUAAGGAUGACUGAGGAAGAGUACUCUUUGGCUUGUUGACACCAGCACAGCUGACACACCCAGAUAUCUGUUUGGUCUCCUGUGAACUUUCAACCAGGAUUUAAGGAUGCCACUCUGGUUAAAAGCUGAAACAACUUCAAGGAAACUUCAGGGAAAAGAGAAGGCCUGGAAUCUGAUCCUCCACUUCAGAGAACAGGGGUGGUGGAGUCUAUGGCCCUUCUCCUUGAAUCUGAGUGAAAUUAGUGAGUCUUUCAAUCCAAAGACUACAGUCAUACCUCAACUAUCUACAGAGGACUGGUUCCAGGACUCCCAUGGAUCCCAAAAUCCAAGGAUGCUUCGAAUCCCUUAUAUAAAAUGGCAUGGUAUUUGCAUAUAACCUACAUGCAUCUUCAAAUAUGUUAAACCAUCUCUAGAUUACUUAUAAUACCAAAUACAAUGUAAUGCUAUGUAAACAGUUGUUACAAUGUAUUGUCAAAGACAAGCUCUCCUUGCCAAUCCCUGACCAAAUGAGAGAUUCAUGAGCAAAAUAAAUAGUUGCUGAUAUUUAAGGCACUAAGUUUGGGGCAAUGUAUUACACAGCAAUAAAUAACUGGAACAGCAUAGUAAAUUCUAGUUAAAAAUACUAAACUACUAAGUUUUAGUUAACAUACAUGCUCAAGUUAAGGGUGUGGUAUACUAACAACUGCAACUUACUUUGAAAAGCAUAAAAAAAGACACUAGAAGAAGACAGGAUGGAUAGAUGGACAAGAUAGAAGACAAUAACAAAUAGAACAAAAUGUUGUGAAAUUAUAUUCUACAAUUAUUUUAAAGUCUGUGUGGUUUGAAAAAUUGUACGAUAAAAUGAAGAGUGAAAUAAAGACAUUUCCAUACAAACAAAAGCUGAAAGAUUUUGUAGCCAGUAGACCUAUACUUUAGAAAUGUUUAAGAAAUUUUUUCAAGUAAAAGGAAAAUAACACCAGCAACAAACUUGGAUCUACAAAAAGGAAUCUCCACAAAGAAAAAUAAAUAAAAAUGGUAAAUAUGAAGGUAAAUAUAAAGGAAUGUUAUUCUUAGUUUUUAAGUUUCUUCGUAAGACAACUGGCCUUUGAAAGAAAUAGUUUCAAACGCUGCUGUGGAAUCUAUAACACAUAUAGAAGUAAAAUGUUAAGAUCAUAAUACCAAAAAGAAUGAGGGAGAGUAAAUGGAUGUAUACUAUUCCAAAAUUCUUACAUUAUACAUUAAGAGGAAUAAUAUUUUUGAAGGUAGAUUGAGGUAAGUUAAAGGUGCAUAUUGUAAAUCCUAGAAGUAUCACUGGGGGGAAAAAAAACAGAGGGACAAGCUAAUAAUGGAGACAAUACAAAAUUCCAAAAAUGCUCCAUUAACCGAAAAGAAGGCAGAAAAGGAAGAAAAGAUUAGACAAAUAGAAAACAAAUAGUGUCUUAAACACAAUUAUAUUGCCAACUGCAAUAAAUGUAAAUGGACUUAAUCAAAAAGCAACGAUCGUAAAAAGUCAAUCUGAAAGCAAGAUGCAACUAUAUGCUAUCUAAAAGAAAGACAUUAAAUGACCAAUAAGCUGAAAAUAAAAACACAGCAAAAUGAUAUAAUGUGCAAAAAUUAAUCAUAAGAAAGGAAUGGAUACACUAAUAUCAAAGUAGACUUUAGAUAAGGAACAUUACCAGCGAUAAACAGAGACAUUUCAUAAUGAUAAAGACAUCAAUUAAUCAAGGAGAUCUAACAGUCCUAAAUGUGAACACACCUAAGGACACAA